CAGCACAUGUGUUAUUGGUUGUAUUCUCCAAUAUCCCCAUCUUUUAACAUUGCCAGUGAGCAGACGGAUGUAGAAAGAAUAACAGCAGAAGGACUCUCAAUUCAAAGACUUAAACCAGCAGGGAAUUGCCUCCAUUGAAACUAUUAUUUCCAGAAAUACUAAUGAGCAGCCUACAUCAGCUGAGAAAAGUGAAACUGGAAUUCCUAAAGAUAAAAGCCAGGGCUGCUGAUAUUCUGUACAUAUUCAACUGCUGGCAAUAGGCAAUAGUAGAUGCUGGGAAACUGUAAUUCCAGAUUUCUAUGCAGUCAUAGAAGACCUCGAGAAAAGUGUCGAGAAACUUCUACAAAAGACUAAAUUGAC